rnacentral:misc_RNA from 1 species
AAGGCCUGAGCAGUGAGAUUUUGAACCAGUAGACGAUGAUCAAAAGGAAGAUGAACGCUGGCCUUAAUUGCAAUGAUAUUUAUGCUUGACUCCCCAUCAUUCUUGAGUCCAACGAGUAGUUCAGUAUCUUCACCAGCUGGCACCAAACGUGCAUGUUUUUUUGGGAAAACACAGACUGUAUCAACUCCCGGAGCAGGGCUAAAACUUCCAUCACCAAAAUAUUGGGCAUCUUCGCCAACAAUACCAAGAUCGCUGACUUCUUCAGCAGCCUCGGUGACUUCUGCAUCAGAAUCUGACUGACACCUAGUCACUUGAAAGAGAGGAGAAGCGAGGAGGAGGAGAGCGAAGAAGAAAGCCCUAACAUUGUUCAUUUUCGCCAUGCGUAAGGCAGCUUAGUUGGUGGUUGAGAGCAACACGACGCCAAAUACAUAAAUCGAAG